CCUACGGGUGGCAGCAGUGAGGAAUAUUGGUCAAUGGGCGAGAGCCUGAACCAGCCAAGUCGCGUGAGGGAGUACUGCCCUAUGGGUUGUAAACCUCUUUUGUCGGGGAGCAAAAGCCGGACGUGUCCGGCUGUGAGAGUACCCGAAGAAGAAGCAUCGGCUAACUCCGUGCCAGCAGCCGCGGUAAUACUGAGGAUGCGAGCGUUAUCCGGAUUUAUUGGGUUUAACGGGUGCGCAGGCGGAUUUUUAAGUCAGAGGUAAAAUCGUGGGGCUCAACCCCGUCCAGCCGUUGAACCUGGGGAUCUAGAGUGUGCGAGAGGUAUGCGGAAUGCGUGGUGUAGCGGUGAAAUGCAUAGAUAUCACGCAGAACCCCGAUUGCGAAGGCAGCAUACCGGUGCACAACUGACGCUCAGGAACGAAAGCGUGGGUAUCGAACAGGAUUAGAUACCCCAGUAGUC
rnacentral:rRNA from 1 species